CCUGGGACCACGACCCGAGCCGAAGGCAGACGCUUAAUGACUGAGCCACCCAGGUGCCCCUCAAAUAAAUCUUUAAAAAAAAGAAAGAAGACUGCUUUGGCUCUUCGGGGUCUUUUGUGGUCCAUACAAAUUUUAGGAUUAUUUACUCUAUUAUUUAUUUUUUUUUCAGGGUAUUUUCUCACCAGAUCCUUGGAGUGUGCUGGUGUUGGCUUUCUCUCAUUGACCAUUUCACAGCUGAAGUUUAGAGGACUUGCCCAAAGCCCACUCCAUUUUGUUGAUGGACUUUUAAUGACCACCCAUCCAUUAAGGACAAAGCUAUCCUUAGUGCUUCCCGUCGGCUUCACCCUGAUUCCUGCAUCAGUCAUGAUGUAACUCUGGGGUCUCCAAAGAUUUGUUUUUGAUGCCUCUCCUUCCUCCCAGCUUCACCGCCCGCCAGGGCUCUCCACCGGAGCGCCAACCUUUCCAGCUCAUCUCACCUUAUCUGAGCCAGGCAGCCCUUCUCCAAACAAGCCGGCUGGGCCUCCGCCCUCAUGCUCCUGCCUGAGAUCACCGAAUAAAUCCCCUUUCGAGCCUCAACACAUCCCCCGCCCCCCCAGCUCAGGUCCUCACUGCACCACCACCCCUUGUAGCCAGCCUCUACCUGCAGUCAGCCCCACCCGCCUCAGCGCACCAGAGACCUGCCUGUUUCUCUCCUCGUGGCGGCGGCCUCCGAAAACUGUUCAUAAG